GACGAACGCUGGCGGCGUGCCUAAUACAUGCAAGUUGAGCGAUGAAGAUUGGUGCUUGCCCCAAUUUGAAGAGCAGCGAACGGGUGAGUAACGCGUGGGGAAUCUGCCUUUGAGCGGGGGACAACAUUUGGAAACGAAUGCUAAUACCGCAUAACAACUUUAAACAUAAGUUUUAAGUUUGAAAGAUGCAAUUGCAUCACUCAAAGAUGAUCCCGCGUUGUAUUAGCUAGUUGGUGAGGUAAAGGCUCACCAAGGCGAUGAUACAUAGCCGACCUGAGAGGGUGGUCGGCCACAUUGGGACUGAGACACGGCCCAAACUCCUACGGGAGGCAGCAGUAGGGAAUCUUCGGCAAUGGACGAAAGUCUGACCGAGCAACGCCGCGUGAGUGAAGAAGGUUUUCGGAUCGUAAAACUCUGUUGGUAGAGAAGAACGUUGGUGAGAGUGGAAAGCUCAUCAAGUGACGGUAACUACCCAGAAAGGGACGGCUAACUACGUG
rnacentral:rRNA from 1 species